rnacentral:tRNA from 1 species
GCUUCUGUGGUCCAAUGGUUAGGAUUCCACCCUUCCAGACGGAAUAAAAAAAAACGUCAAGCAAGGUGGAGGUUCGUGUUCGAUUCACGGCAGUUGCA